rnacentral:rRNA from 1 species
ACAAGUAGUCAGAGCCCGUUAAUGGGUGAUGGCGUGCCUUUUGUAGAAUGAACCGGCGAGUUACGAUUUGAUGCAAGGUUAAGCAGUAAAUGUGGAGCCGUAGCGAAAGCGAGUCUGAAUAGGGCGUUUAGUAUUUGGUCGUAGACCCGAAACCAGGUGAUCUACCCUUGGUCAGGUUGAAGUUCAGGUAACACUGAAUGGAGGACCGAACCGACUUACGUUGAAAAGUGAGCGGAUGAACUGAGGGUAGCGGAGAAAUUCCAAUCGAACCUGGAGAUAGCUGGUUCUCUCCGAAAUAGCUUUAGGGCUAGCCUCAAGUGAUGAUUAUUGGAGGUAGAGCACUGUUUGGACGAGGGGCCCCUCUCGGGUUACCGAAUUCAGACAAACUCCGAAUGCCAAUUAAUUUAACUUGGGAGUCAGAACAUGGGUGAUAAGGUCCGUGUUCGAAAGGGAAACAGCCCAGACCACCAGCUAAGGUCCCAAA